AAGAAAACAACCUCUUCUGUAGUUCCUUACCUCUAGUAGCAAGUGCUGACUUGCCAAGCCAGAAGAAGGAGAAGGAACAAUUCAAAGCUCUGGCAGACUUCCAGCUGGUACUGAUGCCUGUUUAUAACGGAUCCCAAGUUUUGAAGGCUUUCUGUAAUGGCUUCCACUUGGAGGUUGAUACUUUUUAAAAAUCAGUGUAAUUCCAUUGACCAGAGUGCUCUCAUGCCAGACAAUGAGAAGUAAAUUUUCUGGAGUCUGUGAAACUAUGCUGACAUGGCAUCUGACCAGAUGUACUUGGUAACAGCUCACAAACAGGGUAUUAAUUGGAAGAGCAUGUCAGAUUUGAUAACACAAAGAAAAGCAGAAAUAUUUGCUCCUCUCCAGACUGGCUGAGGAGGUGUCCAUGACUCACAUGAGGUUGUAGUGGCACAAUCAGAGAAAGGGUCCUAAAAGCCUACCUCUGCUGUGUCUGUAACCUGCAAAAAGAAAAUCAGCUUC